CAUCAUGGGAAUUCAUCAAGGAAAAAGAGAUCACAGCUAUUGGGUGAGGGACCAAGAGUGGUUACCCUGGGUCGCGAAUAAUGGACCCUAACUACCCAGCAGCCCAUGAACGGAGCGCUUCCCGUGUGUCGCCGCAUUCAAUCUUCGGUCACCAAUGAGAUAGAUUCUACUCUGCACCCACGCUGUUAACCAUAGCGUGCGGAUGGGCUGUGUCCUGCAGGCAGUGGGGAGCCAGAGACGGUUUGAGCGGGAGGGUGAGUCUGUUGGAGCCACUUCUCGGAUGGAACACCGCCGUGUGCAAGGCCACGAAGUUCCUCUCCGCUCCUCACACCCUUCUCCUUUGUGCCAGGUCACUGCCUGUGUUCUGGUUUCCAGGAGACAGGCAGGGCUGCUGCGGGAGGGCUGCUCCGAAAACCCCCAUGCAGACGAGGAGCAGACAUCACCACUGCUCCGAGAAACGGAGCCUGUGCACCCACUGCUGCAGAAGACGGCGCUGAGCGUGGUUUGAGCUCCUGGUCUUGGACGCGGUUUGAGAUGACUUUUGGAGAUGGAGUGAAGUGCCGGUCUACCUUCCCUCUUUCACGCAGGCAUGUCUGCUGGUCCCAGCGUCAUCUGUGGAAAAGAUUAUUCCUCCCUCCCUGAUUGGCCCUGGCACUCGUGUUGAAAACCAAUCGGCCACAAAUGCAAGGAUUUAUUUCUGCACUUGCAGUCCUAGUCCUUUGGCCUGUGUGUCCACCCCACGCCAAUGCUGCACUGUCCGCGUACCUGCAGAAUCCUAACACCUUUCGAAAUUGGGAAGUGUCACUUCAACUUUACUUUUUCAAGACAGUUUGGCCAUGCUGGGUCCCUUGUACUUCUUGAAUGAUCAAUUUCUGCAAAAUGCAACUGGGCUUUUGAGUCUUUUGUCAAUUUGGGUCACACAAGAGGUCUUAAUAAGCCAAUGGAAAAUGUGUGUUAUGAAAAAGCCAUGCGCUGGUUUCAAAAUUUUUUUGGACCAAAAUAUAAGGGUACUUCAAAAAGUCGUGGACAAUGGGAUUGAAAAAAGAUUUAUUUAGGUGCGGAAGUAUUUUGAAAUCCAUGCAGAGUUUUUCAUAUUCCACAUUUUCCACAAACUUCUUGAAGAAGUCUGUGUUGCCUUUUUCACAAUAGUGUGUCUCCCAGGCUAUAAUCAUGGAAUAUCUUACAAUUUACUUAGACCUUCUUUCAUGUCAAUGAUGUUUUGUAGCUUAAAAAAAUAAACUUUACUAACAACAAUACAAAUGCGUCGGCUGC